rfam:Otolemur garnettii contig015383, whole genome shotgun sequence.
CAGGCGUGGUGGUGCAUGCCUGUAGUCUCAGCUACUGGGGAGGCUGAGACGGGCGGAUCGCUUAAGUCCAGGAAUUCUGGGCUGUGGUGUGCUAUACCAAUUGGGUGUCCACACUAAGUUUGUCAUCAAUAUGGUAACCUUCCGGGAGUAGGUAGCCACCAGGUUGCCUAAGGAGGGGUGAACCAGCCCAGGUUGGAAACGGAGCAAGUCAAAGCUUCUGUGCUGAUCAAUAGUGGUAUUGCACCUGUGAAUAGCCACUACACUCCCUCAUGGCAAGGUAGUGAGACCCUGUCUCUA